rnacentral:rRNA from 1 species
UCAGAUAUAAAUUGAUAAUUAUUUAUUUACCAGAGUACUACGAAUAGAAUUAUUUAAAACUCAAAGAGCUUGGCGGUGCUUUAGACUUUUCAGGGGAACCUGUCUCGUAAUCGACAGUCCACGAAUCAACCUCACCUUCUUUUGCUAUCAGUUUGUAUACCGUCGUCGUCAGGUAACUUUUAAAAAUAUAGAAGUUAGCAGGAAAACUUUAAGUUUUUACGUCAGAUCAAGGUGCAGCUUAUAAGAAGGAGCGGAUGGGUUACAAUUAAGAUUUAUAAUUACGGAUGUUAACUUUAAAUAGUUAAUAAUUGAAGGCGGACUUGAAAGUAUGAAGUAGUAUAUAGAUUUUUUGAAUUCAGCUCUGAAGCG